rnacentral:rRNA from 1 species
GAUGAACGCUAGCGGCAGGCCUAGCACAUGCCAGUCGAGGGAGAAGCCCUUUCGGGGGCAGAAACCGGCGCACGGGUGCGUAACGCGUAUGCAACCUACCUUUCACAGGGGGAUAGCCCGAAGAAAUUUGGAUUAAUACCCCAUAAUAUUAUUGGAUGGCAUCAUUUGAUAAUUAAAACUGCGGUGGUGAAAGAUGGGCAUGCGUCCUAUUAGCUAGUUGGAGUGGUAACGGCACCCCAAGGCUACGAUAGGUAGGGGUCCUGAGAGGGAGAUCCCCCACACUGGUACUGAGACAGGGACCAGACUCCUACGGGAGGCAGCAGUGAGGAAUAUUGGUCAAUGGUCGGAAGACUGAACCAGCCAUGCCGCGUGCAGGAAGAAUGCCUUAUGGGUUGUAAACUGCUUUUAUAUGGGAAGAAUAAGGCGUACGUGUACGUUGAUGACGGUACCAUAUGAAUAAGCAUCGGCUAACUCCGUG